AAAAAGGCUAUGACAGGGAAUAGUAGCUGUUACUUUGAUUUCAGAGAGAAGAUGGCUGGUGCGAAUCUUUAGGAAAAGUACAGGGAAGGCGCCCUCAAGCUGUGGCUUGAACGGAAUUCAAGUAGAGACCAACGGAAAAUCCACCGUUAUCAGGGGAAGCGGCAUAAAGUGUAUACUCGUGCCGUAACAAGAGUGCAGGUUAUCCUGAAUUUAGGUAGUACCACGGACAGAUAUUGUUCGCCCUAAGC
rnacentral:ncRNA from 1 species